rnacentral:lncRNA from 1 species
AGGAACCUGAUCCUCGGUAGCGAAGGGCUGGAGGCAAACACCGAGCUCCCCCUGAGCCGCCUGGGAGCAGGGAGGGUUCUGCUACCCUGAGGGGCCCUCCCCGCGGGGCAGAGGAGGCUGUUGGGAAGGUGGGAUGACCUAGGAUUGACCUUGGACUUGACAUCACAGAAGCCAUUUCAACCUUCACAGGGUUUCCUCAGCAGUGCCCCGGAGCAGGGACCGCGCCAGCCAGCAGAAACAGCUAGUUGUUGUCUGCAGUGAAGAAUAAUUGGAAGCAUGGUGCCUGUUUCUUUUCCUGUGGGAGGAAGUCACAGCAUCUACUUCUGAAUCUGUGCUUGCCUUGAGGAAAAACGGCAUGGCACAGGAAUGUGGACGCUUUCAACCAGAGGAUUCUGUACGACGGUGUCGGCACACAAGGAGUGUUCCACUGACUGACCUCUUUUUGUUUUCAAAUGAAGAGGAGCCAAGAAUAGGACAGCUUGGGAAGGUGAGCUGCGUAUAGCUCGUCAGGCUGAGCUCAUCCUCGUCUACGGCCAAACGUUGGUUUCUCAUUUCUAGAAGAUGAAAGAUGUGAUGACUCAGGAAAAACUGGAAUCUUAGUAACUGUGGUGGGCAUUGAGCCUUGCCGUCCACAAGAGAAAGCUUGCUGCUCGAGAUGUGAGUCUUCAGAUGUUCCUGCCGCCAUAUCUGACAGCUGCUGCCAAGAUUCCCUGGUGGGAUGGACUCUUAUACCUCAACAACCAGAAGCCCAAGUAAACUCUUCUAUAAAUUGAAUGACUCAUGCUUAAAAAAAAAAACAAAAAACAAACUAUCUUUAUUUUGUGUGCAUUGGUGUUUUGCCUACAUAUAUGUCUGUGUGAGAGUGUCAGAUUCCUUGGAACUGUAGCUACAGAUAGUUGUGAGCCACCAUGUGGGUGCUGGGACUUGAACCCCAGUCCUCUAGAAGAGCAGCUGGUAGGUACUCUUAACCACUGGACCAUCCCUCUAGACCCUGAUCAUGGU